UCGAGGGACGGUCGAAAUAAACAAACCACUUGAAAAAGUUUCGAAACAGUUCAAUUGAAAUUUUGUGCAAUCAGCGCCAAAAUAAAACAACUCAAAGUAAUUCUGGAGAAAAUAAGAUUGUGGAAGCUGCACAAGGUAUCGCAGAGCCGUGAACUGGUACCUCUGGAAAAUGAAAUUAUCAAUACGACGAAGUUGACGCUUUCACAACACGCUAGAAUUUUUUUGCACCAGAGUUCAAUUAUUGAUCAUGUACCAGAACGAAUUUUAAAUUUGUAAGACACUAUCAAGUUAAUGGAACUGGGUGCACAAUAUGAAAAUCUGACAUUAGAUGUAGUGCUGCUAUAAACAGGCGUCAUGCUAUAUCAUCAUCAAGGGCUACCCAGGAGCUCUACCUAUCAUGUCAUAAUUCUGAUCAGAUCCCAUAUCCAAAGAACCCGUACCUCGCAAGUGUCUCAGGUUCAUCCAAUUUUACAUCCGUUUUGCGAAGUAAAGGAAUUUCUCGAAUGUACAAAAUAUGAAAGCGUAUUGUUUUACAUGUACGUUGAUUAGCAAUUAAGGUCGAAUGAUUUGGAAGGAAAUCAGAAGUGGCGAAUAUACAUAAAUUUGACGAAUACUUUAGAGUCAUUAUAAAAA